GUAGUAGCAAAGUUUCAUUCAUAUUUGAUUGUUAAACUGUCAUGGCUGCGCCCAUAGAAUUCGCCGAUCCAUUCUCUUCGAGCGAAGACGAAGAGGAUAAUGCCAGGUUAAAGGAAGCCGUUUAUGAAAUCAGAAUUGUCACGAAAGACCAAGCAAGGGCAGAUCUGAAAGUGGAAAAUGACCAGGAAAUCAUACCCUCCAGAAGGCCUGAUAAACAGAUAGAUGAUGCAGACAAUGUUGAUAAUAUGUUUAAUGCAACUCCAGGCUUUAGGAGACAUGUUUCCAGAAAAUUGUCUGCAGCUUUGGACAGUGAGAUAGAUUGCACAGGACAGUGUUUCUGUUACUGUUCUAAUAAAGAAGAACAAAAGUUUGGUGUUAAAUUGUUUUCAAACUCAAAAACACUCCUUCAAGAUGACUCUUCAAAACUGGAGGGCAGAAAAUAUGACAAAAAGCACCCCCUACCUUCAAGCAGUGAUAGCAGGUUAUCAAGCGUGAUCUGGUACGAGCGGUGAAGAAGAAAAAACAGGAACUUGAUGGCAAAUUCCUAUUACAUCACGACAAUACACAGUCCCAUUCCUCUGUGGUCACCAAAGCAACACUGAGAGAGUUGAGAAUUGACACAGAGAAGCAUCCUGCAUAUUCCCCGGAUCUAGCACUGUGCGAUUUCUGGCUCUUUCCGACCUUGAAAUCAGAGCUGCGCGGCAGUAGGUUUGAUGAUGUUGAUGACUUACCCACCAUUGUCCGGGAAACACUCUGAAAAACUCCAAAGGAGCAUUUCAGGUCAUCCUUUGACAAGUGGAUUUGUAGUUCUGAAGAUGAGAGACUAGCUGAAGCAUCUGUGUCCCAUGACUUUAUACUUCAUCAGAGUAAUCCUCCCUUACACAACAAGUAAGAAACCAGCUGACAUUAUCAUAAAUCAAGCAGACCAUUGCCCAUCUGCUGUGACAAAAAAGAACAGUGGAAGUAACGAAUUAGAAGUUUCCAGAUGUAAUCAUGAAAUAAAGAACAGUGAAAAAAGUGAGCAGACAAAAAUGGAUCAGUUAAUUGAAACUGAUGAAAAAAUUGAAGGACCAAUAAAGAAGCACAAAAAGAAAAUUAAGAAAAGAAAAGAAAAGUCAGUUGAGCUGUUUCAGUGAUCUGCAGUUAUCACAAUGAUCAAUAUAGCAGAAGACAAGGUGCUUAAAAAUUAAGAACAAGACCUCUGCUUGUUCCUGAAAAAUUGUGUAUUGAAAGGACUUUACUUUGAUGGAACUCAUAGGGGAGGAACAUAUAUAGAGCUCUACUGAAGCGAGGACAUAUUGAUUGUUUGGUAACCUAAACAUGUACUAUUUAUAUAGGAUCAGCCUGAUUAAAGAGCAAACAACAAUUCAAUGCAAAUUGGUGAUUAUGUACAUGUAUCAUGUACAUCGGAUAUAGAACACCAGCUUUCCAUUGAAAAUGUUUAUAUCAUUUUAGUGUAUACAGAAUGAUGCUGAUUUGGAAUUUCGAAAAAAAGAAAAUUCACUCCCUAUAAUAUAUUUGUUACAUCUUACAGAAAUAAACUAUUAAUGAUGUUUAAAUUUUA
rnacentral:misc_RNA from 1 species